UACGGAGGGGGCUAGCGUUGUUCGGAAUUACUGGGCGUAAAGCGUACGUAGGCGGCUUUGUAAGUUAGAGGUGAAAGCCCGGGGCUCAACUCCGGAAUUGCCUUUAAGACUGCAUCGCUAGAAUUGUGGAGAGGUAAGUGGAAUUCCGAGUGUAGAGGUGAAAUUCGUAGAUAUUCGGAAGAACACCAGUGGCGAAGGCGACUUACUGGACACAUAUUGACGCUGAGGUGCGAAAAGCGUGGGGAGCAAACAGG
rnacentral:rRNA from 1 species